rnacentral:rRNA from 1 species
CCUACGGGUGGCAGCAGUGGGGAAUAUUGGGCAAUGGGCGCUAGCCUGACCCAGCAACGCCGCGUGAAGGAAGACGGCUUUCGGGUUGUUAACUUCUUUUCUGAGGGGCGAAGAAAGUGACGUUAACUCAGGAUUAAGCCUCGGCUAACUACGUGCCAGCAGCCGCGGUAAUACGUCGGUGGCAAGCGUUAUCCGGAUUUAUUGGGUGUAAAGGGCGAGUAGGCGGGAAAGCAAGUCAGUUGUGAAAAUUCAGGGCUCAACCCUGAGCUUGCAGUUGAAACUGGUUUCCUUGAGUGCUGGAGAGGCAAUCGGAAUUCCGUGUGUAGCGGUGAAAUGCGUAGAUAUACGGAGGAACACCAGUGGCGAAGGCGGAUUGCUGGACAGUAACUGACGCUGAGGCGCGAAAGCGUGGGGAGCAAACAGGAUUAGAUACCCGAGUAGUC